rnacentral:lncRNA from 1 species
AUAUAAGCAGUUCUUCAGCAUCUUUUCUCCAUUGAUCACUAUUUCUUUGACAUUUCCUUGACUCAUUUACUUUUGUUCAUUAUUAUCUGUAUAUUUCCUUCUCUGAGUGUAUUUUUCUGAGCAUCGAUGGAGCUUUUUCAAGAAGGCACCUAUCGUCCCAUCGGGGUGCUGUUCGACACUCCUGUUUAUAGACAGAUUUUUCAGAACUGUUGGCAUAUGCCCUCCUACAAAGUUCAUGUAGCUAUGGUGGCUGAACUCCUGAGGUUACAGAAGGAGAACCAACUUCUGUCUGAGGUGACUCCUGAAGACAUGGCUCGACACCUCCAUGUAAUGAGCAAACGCAGUCUAAGGGUGCAGCUGCUGGACUUUCAGCUGCAGGAGUACGAUAACGAUGAUGAUGAUGAGGUUAGGAUGCUUCUCAGCAUGGCGAGGGAGGUCAACGACAGCAUGAGGAUGAGGGAUAUUCAGCUGGAUGCUCAAAGGCUGAUCAGCGCUCCAGAGCUCAUGCCUCCAAACUUUAUAUCAGCAAAGAUGAUGAAAGAGGCAAAGGCCAUUGGGGAGGCGCUCACUGAGAGGCAUCAGCAAACCUCCUGCUCUGAACAUCUCCAGCAGCCCCGGGACGUGGUUUUGGACGUGGUUCCAAAGGUGCUUCAGGGCUUGUGGGUGCCUAAACCAAGGUUGUUCCUCACCAUGCCUUCCAUGAAGCUGGAUAAGAUGGCAGUUGGAGUCACCAAAGGGGUAGAAGAUGGUGUUCUAGCUGCCCUAGGCUCCACCACACAUGAAGUCAACAUGUCCCGCUCAACCAGGGAUGAGAUGAUCACCUCCAUCAUAAAGACACUUCAUGAAGCCUACCCCAAAGACAUCAGGAGGAAGAUGCUGAACUCAUUUUCUCCACAGUUGAUGCACCACGUUGCUGAAGUUACAGCUGAACAGAUCACGGCUUUGUUUCAACCUCGGGGGAAACAAGAAGAUACCAUGUCCCUCCCUGAGGAGCCCACGACCCUCC